GUGGAUUAGAUACCCUAGUAGUCCACGCCGUAAACGUUGGGCACUAGGUGUGGGUCUCAACCAACGGGAUCUGUGCCGUAGCUAACGCAUUAAGUGCCCCGCCUGGGGAGUACGGCCGCAAGGCUAAAACUCAAAGGAAUUGACGGGGGCCCGCACAAGCGGCGGAGCAUGUUGCUUAAUUCGAGGCAACGCGAAGAACCUUACCUGGGUUUGACAUGUAGGGAAAAGCCGUAGAGAUACGGUGUCCUUCGGGGCCCUACACAGGUGGUGCACGGUCGUCGCCAACU
rnacentral:rRNA from 1 species